rnacentral:lncRNA from 1 species
GUUAUUCCUUUUGUUUGUAGGAUGGUUGGAUAGUUAUUCCUUAAUUUGUAGUUCGUUGGUUAGGGUUUAGGGAGGGUUUUGUGGUUUGUUGGUUGGUUCAUGUGUGGUAUUGAAUCGUAUUUUUUGUUUGUGUUGUUGUGUUUGGUUGUUGUUAAUUUUGUUAAGAAAUAUUUGAUUUUUGUGGUUGCAGAUACAAAUAUAAUGGCUCCUGUCAAAAGAAAAAUUGUAUUAACAAAAGAAACAACUGACACAA